UGUUGUUUUUUUCUUUUCAGAGGCCGGCACAUCCUUAUCAAUAUCAUUAACAGAGUCUGACCACUUUUCUAACCAAUCUUCAAAGGAAGCAAGAUCAUUGAGUCUUUGGUCAAGAAUGUCUGCCACUGGUCUACGGUCUCUGAAAAUCUGGAUAACUUUGUUGGUGAUUACUCCAAACAGUUUUUAUAUCUCUGAAGCAAAUUUAUUUUUGCAUGGUAAUAAUAGCAUACCGCUACUGCGCAGGGUUGAAUAACCUUGAGGUGAUCUGUUCCACAAGAUGCAGCAUCAGUGUUAAGACGCUUGGUAAUGAAGUACGGAAAUAUAACUAUGUCUGUAUCAUUGGCCAGUGAUACUGGUAAUAAUUAAUAUCUAACAAAGAUGUUGAGCAGAAGCGCAGUGUAAAGCCAUCCAGUAGAGGUCUUGAAGCUGUUCACUUGGAAACUAUAAAUAUUCAUUCCUGCAGAACGGUUGAGAAGCAUCAACAUGAAAAGUGAAGAAAAGCUUACAGUGCUUGUGUUAGUGUAAAAGCUAUUAGUUACCUUAACAAUUCACAUAUAUGAUUUUUCACAUGAACACAUUUACAGUAUGAACUAUAAUCUUGCACUGAAAUAUAGCUAACUUUUACAAUUUCUGUCAUAACCAUAACUAAACAACCUUGAUAAGUUAAAGAUGGUCAUGAAAAAUUGAUAGACUGUGAAAUGAUUAACUUUGCUUGGGUUCUGAUUAUAUUUUAUCAUUUAUAUUCAUAAACAUAAAAAUAAAUUCCGUUUUAGUUAUACCUGCUUUUAAUAUAAAUGUAAGGUACUAAACGUAAAAUAAAACCAUAGAAUUAUUGCAGAAUUUUAGUAUACAGGAAAAUUGUUUUUGUUUUGUUUCAUUUGCACUAACUCAAUCAUAAAUCAAAUGGCAACUUUCGAGGUUGGUGGUGGAGGAAGACCUAGGUGCCCCUCUCUACAUGUUUUAUCACAAUCAGGAACUUUGCUAGAACCACCAACACUUUAUAAACCCGCUUAAUGGCUUCCUCACAAGAACUUAGACAUACAGUGACGGGCAAGUGACUCAAAGUCAGCAUCAUUAACAACUUCGCCAUGCAGGCUCUCAAUAAAAUUGUACCUCCCUUUAUAUAUAUAUAUUCAUUUACCAGCACAAUAAAUUAUAAUUUAUAUACUUAAACAAUGCAGUCUGUACUAUAUUGUAACAAAAUAGUCAGACACAUUCAGAAUUACAUUUGACAAAUACAUAAUUAUGUCAUCUUUUUUUCUGGAUUUGCAUUUUUAAGAUAUUUUCAAACAAAAACUCAGUUCGAAGGACAAAUUAUUUUUUAGCAUCUUGAGGUCAGUGCCUUUAAACGUGCUGAAACAUACUUUGCUGAACAAAUGUAUAUUUUUAAAACUUAAUCAGUUGGUCAUUUACACUUAAUUGUGUUGACCAGAUUUUCACUGCAUGUAUUUUUCAAAAUUACACUUUCUUGUUCUGGUUGCAGUUUAAGCAUAAGUAAGAAUUAAAUAAACACUGUUGCUUAGGUAAUAGUAUGAAACCUAGCACUAAUUUUUUUAAAACUUAUUUAAGAAUUGCAUUUUCAGUACAUACUUUGCCGGAAAAAAUAUAAAUGCAAGAUUAUAAAAUUCUAAUUACCUCCCUUUCUUGUGCACCCAAGAUAAAUUCAAACAGAUUAAUUACAAAAGUUUCAUGCUGUUUUAAAACCUGUAUUUUGUUUCAAGUAGUGGAUAUAUCCCAAUAUUUUCCAAAUGUAAUUGUAAAACUAUGAAUUAUAUCGAAAUCAAAAGAAAAAGACCAUUUUUACAUAUUUUUUAUAUUAAAGGGAGGUAAUUACAAAAUUCAUAAAAGUGAUAACAAAUGCAUUUUCAAUAGGGGUUUCACUCUAAACUGUAUUCAAUGUUUGUAUUUUCAUUCAAUAAGUCUGGAAAACAAAAUGUAUUUAAACUGAAAAUGUAUUUACAUGUUCUUAAAAUGUGAUUGCAUAACCAAAUAAAAAAGAAACCCUGAGUGGCCCAAACAAUCUGAAUCUUGCCAUGGAAAAAUUUAUAGUUAUGGGCCAAUCUGAUAUAAAGAUUUAUAGUAAAGGCAGUUUACCUCCAGUACAUGCUACAAACGCUUCACAAUUUUGAAAGUAAAGUUUAAAAAAAAUCUCAUUUAACUCAAUAACAUAUCAUCUGUCAUUUACUAAGAUUCAAAACCUUCAUAAGAAUUUUUUAUAGCUCAAAUUCUCUUAUCUUUUGUCAUCCUAUGUUGUGGAGGUCAGUGUCUUUAAACAGCACAGAUAGAUUGUAAAUUAUUAUGCACAAUUGGUAUGUGCAGUUUAUUUCAGUAGAGAUCGUUGUAUUAUUCAAUUUGCUUGUACAUAAACACAAAUGUCACAGGACAAAUACUGUUGAAAUAAAUAGCAACAGUUUAAAAAACGAAUAAAUGAAGAUACUUUUUUUCUGUUUACUUUUUAAGGUAGUAAGAUAGUUCAGUGUAUAUCAAUUUUGCUCCAUUUACAUUUUUCCUUCCUUUUCGCAAUGUUUUAGCCUUCACAUAACCUAAGAUGUAAGAAAGACGUAAAAUGUCUGAAAAUUAUGCUAAAUGUUAUUUACAAAAUACAGCAGUAUGUCUCUAAAUUUUGUAUGCCUGUAAAAUAGGAUGCAUUAUGGAAUCACCUGUGACCAUGGUGACCUACAAAAAUGUCUGCUCUGUAGAAUGUUUUAUGUAGUGUUUACCAAACUGGUUCACUUGAUGAGCAUAAUAUCUCAACCAAGCUUGUACCCAUGUGAAAUCGUGUAGUAUCUUUGAAGUUUACUGCUUAAAUUACUCAAAAUAUCGAACAAUUACAUUGUCUGUAGAACUUCAGCAUUUCUUACAAAGCGUUCAUCAGACCUGGUUAUUGUGUUUACAGUCAUAAUUUAUAUGACAAGUUAGAUAACCAUAUACACUGAUCCAUUUGCUCUGCUGCUAAAGCCAUUGGUCACUUAAACUUGAGAAAAGAUACAGUGUCCACCAAUACUUAAACUGUUCUUACCGUAACCAGACUUAGUUGCAAUAUA
rnacentral:lncRNA from 1 species